rnacentral:tRNA from 1 species
AGGAAAUAUGCCUGAAGUUAAAGGACCACUUUGAUAGGGUGGAUCAUGGGGGUUAACCCCCCCUAUUUCCUA